rnacentral:rRNA from 1 species
UACGUAGGGUGCGAGCGUUAAUCGGAAUUACUGGGCGUAAAGCGUGCGCAGGCGGCUUUGCAAGACAGAUGUGAAAUCCCCGGGCUCAACCUGGGAACUGCAUUUGUGACUGCACGGCUAGAGUACGGCAGAGGGGGAUGGAAUUCCGCGUGUAGCAGUGAACUGCGUAGAUAUGCGGAGGAACACCGAUGGCGAAGGCAAUCCCCUGGGCCUGUACUGACGCUCAUGCACGAAAGCGUGGGGAGCAAACAGG